rnacentral:misc_RNA from 1 species
GAUAGAACCUGAUUUGGAGCCAAAACUUUGAUACCAAAUUUGAUGUGAACCUCAAGAACGAUGCCUUAAAACCCACGAACAUGUUUGGUUUAUAAUCCCAAGAAAGCCAAAAUCAAGUUCAGACACCAAAGAAUACUUUGACCUGUCAAUUAUAUAAAAUUAAAAACCAAGAUAAUUAAAAGGUAGAAUUAAGGAUUCUUGA